AGGCAUCUCCAACUCCGUGGUGGAAUAGAUCUUCGCCAGAAAUCCUGGAUGACAUCAGAAUCCUCGGAUGGAAGUUCACAUCGCUAGAUCUGGCCUUGUUUCAGGUUUUCGAAGACGAGCAAGAUGCCGCGAAAUACUGCGAUCUGCUUCAGGGAGGAGGUCAGGGCUGCGAAGGCAUUGCGGAGCUCGAGGCGUCGUCGGUGAGGAGGGGACGAAUGCCGAAUCCUUACCGGUCAUCCAUGUCGACGGCUUACGAGAUCCUCUCCCCGUCCAGGUCUUCGACAUUUGCCAGAAGAUGAAGGCCCUCGCCGUCCUCUUCCGCCGGGGGAGAACGCCGCCGUUGCCGGAGAACCUUCAGCUCAAUCUCCGCG
rnacentral:lncRNA from 1 species